rnacentral:rRNA from 1 species
UACGAGGGGGGCUAGCGUUGUUCGGAUUUACUGGGCGUAAAGCGCACGUAGGCGGAUCGUUAAGUCGGGGGUGAAAUCCUGGAGCUCAACUCCAGAACUGCCUUCGAUACUGGCGAUCUAGAGUCCGGAAGAGGUGAGUGGAACUCCUAGUGUAGAGGUGGAAUUCGUAGAUAUUAGGAAGAACACCAGUGGCGAAGGCGGCUCACUGGUCCGGUACUGACGCUGAGGUGCGAAAGCGUGGGGAGCAAACAGG